rnacentral:rRNA from 1 species
AGUGAACGCUGGCGGUAGGCCUAACACAUGCAAGUCGAACGGCAGCACAGUAAGAGCUUGCUCUUACGGGUGGCGAGUGGCGGACGGGUGAGGAAUACAUCGGAAUCUACUUUUUCGUGGGGGAUAAGGUAGGGAAACUUACGCUAAUACCGCAUACGACCUACGGGUGAAAGCAGGGGAUCUUCGGACCUUGCGCGAUUGAAUGAGCCGAUGUCGGAUUAGCUAGUUGGCGGGGUAAAGGCCCACCAAGGCGACGAUCCGUAGCUGGUCUGAGAGGAUGAUCAGCCACACUGGAACUGAGACACGGUCCAGACUCCUACGGGAGGCAGCAGUGGGGAAUAUUGGACAAUGGGCGCAAGCCUGAUCCAGCCAUACCGCGUGGGUGAAGAAGGCCUUCGGGUUGUAAAGCCCUUUUGUUGGGAAAGAAAAGCAGCAGGUUAAUACCCCGCUGUUCUGACGGUACCCAAAGAAUAAGCACCGGCUAACUUCGCG